GACUGCGUACCUUUUGUAUAAUGGGUCAGCGACUUAUAUUCUGUAGCAAGGUUAACCGAAUAGGGGAGCCGAAGGGAAACCGAGUCUUAACUGGGCGUUAAGUUGCAGGGUAUAGACCCGAAACCCGGUGAUCUAGCCAUGGGCAGGUUGAAGGUUGGGUAACACUAACUGGAGGACCGAACCGACUAAUGUUGAAAAAUUAGCGGAUGACUUGUGGCUGGGGGUGAAAGGCCAAUCAAACCGGGAGAUAGCUGGUUCUCCCCGAAAGCUAUUUAGGUAGCGCCUCGUGAAUUCAUCUCCGGGGGUAGAGCACUGUUUCGGCAAGGGGGUCAUCCCGACUUACCAACCCGAUGCAAACUGCGAAUACCGGAGAAUGUUAUCACGGGAGACACACGGCGGGUGCUAACGUCCGUCGUGAAGAGGGAAACAACCCAGACCGCCAGCUAAGGUCCCAAAGUCAUGGUUAAGUGGGAAACGAUGUGGGAAGGCCCAGACAGCCAGGAUGUUGGCUUAGAAGCAGCCAUCAUUUAAAGAAAGCGUAAUAGCUCACUGGUCGAGUCGGCCUGCGCGGAAGAUGUAACGGGGCUAAACCAUGCAC
rnacentral:rRNA from 1 species